rnacentral:rRNA from 1 species
UACGGGGGGAGCAAGCGUUGUUCGGAUUUACUGGGCGUAAAGGGCGCGUAGGCAGCCACCGCAAGUCGACUGUGAAAUCUCCGGGCUUAACCCGGAAAGGUCAGCCGAUACUGCGGGGCUAGAGUGCAGAAGGGGCAACUGGAAUUCUCGGUGUAGCGGUGAAAUGCGUAGAUAACGAGAGGAACACCUGCGGCGAAGGCGGGUUGCUGGGCUGACACUGACGCUGAGGCGCGAAAGCCAGGGGAGCAAACGGG